AAAUUUUGUCUCAGAUGCCAUAGCCUAGCCGGGGUGAGGUACCCAGGACAUCUUGAAAUAGCCCUUAAAGAAGCAACAGAGGAUGCGUUGAUGGCUUAGACCACUUUUCUUAACUCACGUCUUUAGUCCAAAGUUUGCAGAGGGCCAGCUGAACCUGGAAAACGCGCGGGUUGAGGGGUGGUCCCUGUCGGUGAGCGCGCCCACAGGGAUCGUGGAGGGUUGGACAGCCAGGGUUCGUUUUAGUGAGAGGGUGGGAAAGAAGGAAACGAGGAAAAGGCAAGUGGCAACAGCUCAAGUCAAAAUCAAAGAAUCAAAUCCUGUGCUUCAAAUUAAAUACGUCCAUGGUACAGAGCGUCUGCUUGAGAGGCUUACAUGGACGUAAGGACCACCGAAACGGAGAAGUUACAGCUGAUGACCCAGCCCCCAGUUUGACCCUGUAGAAUGCUUGCCCUGUGAAGCAAAGUUGAAUUCCUUUAAAAGGUACGUAGUUUUC
rnacentral:lncRNA from 1 species